UAAAAUAAAAAAAAAUUUAAAAAUCAGAUAUCCUUUUAGUAAAUACUCCGAUUCGGAUCCGGAAUAUCUGCCUUGGCAGUGUUGGUGGUGGUCGUAUGUAGCGGUGUGAGGAUGAACUGUAGAUCGCUCUGCCAUUCGUCAAAACUGCCAUCAUCGGUGGGCUGAGUGGAAUGUUUUGGUAGGCCAAAGUUGAUGAAUAUGUGAUCGGGUGGGAAGUAAUAUGGAGUUAAUAAUUAAUUUCUAAGAAUUCUUUAGAACUUUUGUAGUCUUAAAAGAGCAGAGAUAGUCAUGGAUAGCUGAAAUCCUACCCCAUUCUAAAGACCUUAUCUAUGUCUUAGACUGCUGAAAUCCUCUCGCUUACCAGAACCUAUCAUUCCAAGGAACAAUUUAGAGCCGGGGGACUUUUUGGUCGCAUCCUCCUUUAUGGGGUUGCCGUUUUUCUUCCCUUCCCAAAUCCUGAUCAUAGUUUUCUAUGAGCGGAAUACACUGGAUACGAUGAUGAUGAUGAUGAUGAUGAGAUGGUCAUCGACUAUUUUGUUUGUAUACAAACUGUGAACUGAGCUGGAAAAAUCAAAUUGCAAAAAAACUGAACCGACCAAAAAUCAGCUCAAAAUGGUUUUAGACUUUGGUGAGCGAUGGCGAUUAAAGAAGAAAGAAGAAUGAGAGUGUGAUAAUGGUUGCAAUUGGUGGUGAAGGCGAAGCAUUCUUAGUGAUGACGGAGGUGGGUGAAGUUUCUCAAUGAUGAUGGCUUGUGUGUUACAAAAAAUUUGUAAAAUUGUAGACAAAUCAGUAAAAUGAUGGAUCAUUUUAAGUAGUUUUUCUUAUAAAAAUUUAAAUUAUAAGAAAUACUCCCUUCGUUUAUUAAAUAACUUUUAUUUGUCAUUUUUGAAUGUUUUAUUUAAUGUUUUCAUAAUGAAUCUUUCUAUUUGUAUCACAAAUUUGGACAUUAAAAUAAUCCUCAUUUUAAUAUUUUAAUAAUGCCUAUAUUCCCCACAUAUUUUCCAUUAAUUUAAUUUUAACAAAUUUAUAUUAUUUAUGGUCCCCACAUAUUUUUAACUAAUUUUAUUAAAACAUCUUUUUAUUAGUUGUGGUCUCCAUAUUUUUUCACUAACUUUCUUUUAAUAAUUUUUAAAUGUUUAUGGUCCUAAUUUUCUUCAAUUAAAUUUAUUAUUCAAUAAAUAAUAUAUUCAAAAACUAAAGAUUUUAUUUUUAUUAAUUCUCGUGAACAUUUCUUGUGGGAACUGUAUUAAGGAAUGGAAGAAGUAUAUGUUAAAAUCAUAUGUAUCGUGACAAAUGUAAUAGGAUCACACAUUGAUACUCCAUAUUUUAACUUUUUUAUAUCCAUUAAAAAUCAUGAGUAGCAUUUUUAUCUCUUAAACAUGGAAUAUUUGAAAAGUAUCCAGCAAUAUAAAAUAGAGAGAGUAAUAUACAAAUAAUUAUAGUAGUACUAUUAUUACUUUUUAUAAUUAUAUCUAUCUCAUAUUAAAAAUAAUUUUUUUAUCAAAAUGAAACAUUUUUCUUUGUUAUUUAUUUAAGGAAAAAUUACCGUGAAUGAUAUGAACUUUAAUUAAUUUCCCUACAAUAAUACGAACUUUUAAUUAACCUGAAAUAAUACCAACUUUGACGUACGUUUUCCCAUAGCAUUCAAAUUCACAUGCAACCUGUAAAACAGGUAAUUCUACCCUACAAAAAAGAUAAUUUUAUUUAAAGAAAAAUAAUUUCCAAUCCCCUCUUUACUCUCCAGCUAUGCACCACCCCCUCCCCUUCCCCUGCGACGGCGCCCCCCACCCAACGAGGCUCAACAACCCAUAUCUGCUACACCAAUUUAAUAAUGGUGGUCAAUUUUGAUGGUCGAAUUUGGUAGUGGAAAGGUAGAUUAAAGAUUAUGUUGGAUUGAAUUUGGGAUGGUUAUGGUGGUGGUUCACAUUUAGGGUGGGUGGUUAUGGUGGUUGUUUGUGGAGGUCGCAUCAGGGGAAAGGAGGUGAGGAAGGCUGCACAGGGCGCUGUUUAUGGGAGGCCGAUUGGUGGUGGUGGAGUGGAGGGAAGGGUUUGAUGGUGGUUGAAAAUAGAGGGGGAUAGGGGCUGCACAAAGGAUGGGGAGUUGGAUUCGGUGGUGGAUUUUGAUGAAGAUGUGGUGGCUGGAAGUGGGUGGGGAAUGGGAGUGACAGUGAGCGGGAAACGGUGGUAGUUGUGGCCUGUGGGGGAUGGGGGCUGGAGGUUGGGCUAGGGAUAGGGAAAGGGUACGGUGAGGAUUAGGAAUUCAUGUUCUUUAUUUUUUCUUUUUAACCUUAAAAAAGGUGUUGAAGCUAAAUUUUUAACCUUAAAAGUAUGCUUGCAUCUGUGUUAAUAUUUAAAAAGAGAAGAAAAGUCAAAUUAUGAAAAUAAAAAAGAUGAUAAUAUGAUACAAGGGUAAUAGAAGAUUAUCAUUUUAUUUUAGGGACAAAUAUUCAAUAUGUUUUACCUUCAAAAUGAAAGGAUUAAUUUUUCAACUUGUCUUUCUCCAUCCAUCGCUUUAUAACCAUUUAUUACUGACAAUUAUAUAUUUUUUUAUUUUAUGCUCUAAUAAUACUCUCUUUUAGUUUAAUAUUUAUUCCCCCAUAGAUAUUUACAUUGUAUAAAAACCUAGUCUUGUAAAUACAAAAUCAUGCACAUAGGACAAAUCAAGGAUUGGUUUGGGGUAUAUUAUAUGACUCCUAACUCUAUAUGUUUUACAUUAAAAAUUAAAAAUUAAAAAUUACCCUCAAUUUGUAUUUUUAUUUUUAAUAUGUUAACAAAAAAAUUACAAGUUGAAUCAAGGAUUGGUUUGGGGUAUAUUAUAUGACUCCUAACUCUAUAUGUUUUACAUUAAAAAUUAAAAAUUAAAAAUUAAAAAUUACCCUUAAUUUGUAUUUUUAUUUUUAAUAUGUUAACAAAAAAUUUUCAAGUUGAAUCAAGGAUUGGUUUGGGGUAUAUUAUAUGACUCCUAACUCUAUAUGUUUUACAUUAAAAAUUAAAAAUUAAAAAUUACCCUUAAUUUGUAUUUUUAUUUUUAAUAUGUUAACAAAAAAUUUUCAAGUUGAAUCUUACUUGAUUAGUCUUAAUGUAAAUUUUAUUGAUAUCAAUUUUUUAUAAUUUUUAUUAUUCAUAAUUUUAGACAUUAUGAAUUAAAACAAUACAAUACAUUGAAUAGUAUGUAUAAUCAAGUAGGCACUCAAAAGAGAUGGAGGAAGUAUGUUUUUUGCUUAUUAGCCUUUAAGUAAAUUUAGUCGUUUUUGAUGACUCAUUAUGCUAGUAUAAGGUGUGCAAAGCUCAUCUGUAUAUAUACGUGGAUUCAACUUAAUUGUCAUUUUUUUUUUUACUCCUUCCUAUUCUUAUUAGAUGAUUUAUUUAUUUUUUUCAUGCUAUUCACCAAUUAUACUAGUUUAUAUUUUAUUCUCACACAAAUUGUUGUGUGAUACGGUCUUAUUGUGAGACGUUCUUCAAUUAUGAGUUGAAUAACUCAAUUUACAAUUUUUAAUAAAUAAGCUUCUUGUUUUGAAAUCGUUUCACCGAGAGCCGGUCUUUCACAAGAGUAGCUAUUAUUCUCAAUAUAUUAAUAAGUGUAUGUGAUCUUGUUUGAUUCGUCUCAAUGUAUAUUUUAUUAUCAUUAACUUUUUAUAAUUUUUAACAAACA